UGGUAAUGCCGGAUGCUCCGGUUGGAUGCAUGUCCUUCCGGGAAAGGUUCCAUCGGUAUGGGAUGGGGUCGCGUCCUAUCAGCUUGAUGGCGGGGUAACGGCCCACCAUGGCUUCGACGGGUAGCCGGCCUGAGAGGGCGACCGGCCACAUUGGGACUGAGAUACGGCCCAGACUCCUACGGGAGGCAGCAGUGGGGAAUAUUGCACAAUGGGCGCAAGCCUGAUGCAGCGACGCCGCGUGCGGGAUGGAGGCCUUCGGGUUGUAAACCGCUUUUGAUCGGGAGCAAGCCCUUCGGGGUGAGUGUACCCUUCGAAUAAGCACCGGCUAACUACGUGCCAGCAGCCGCGGUAAUACGUAGGGUGCAAGCGUUAUCCGGAAUUAUUGGGCGUAAAGGGCUCGUAGGCGGUUCGUCGCGUCCGGUGUGAAAGCCCAUCGCUUAACGGUGGGUCUGCGCCGGGUACGGGCGGGCUGGAGUGCGGUAGGGGAGACUGGAAUUCCCGGUGUAACGGUGGAAUGUGUAGAUAUCGGAAAAGAACACCA
rnacentral:rRNA from 1 species